GUAUAGCAAUAGCUACUUGCAUCAUUGUAAAUAUGAUGCAAGAUCGACUAUGUCGAAUAAAAUUCUAGGUAGAAUUAUGAUAAUGACAUUGUCUGCCUAUGUGUCUUGACCAAAUUACGUGCCAGCAGUCGCGGUAAUACGUAGAAGACUAGUGUUAUUCAUGUUUAAUCGGUUUAAAGGGUACCUAGACGGUAAAUCAAGCCUAAAAGGAAAUAAAUGAAGGGACUAAUUUACUAGAGUUACUUAUGAGGGGGUAUUAAAGUACUGCUGGUGUAGAGAUGAAAUUCUGUCAUACCUCUUUUCAAUAGAAAAAUAAUGGCACAGGUAUAGGCGAAAGCAUCCCCUUAUGUGAUAACUGACGUUGAGGGACGAAGGCUUUGUGUAGCGAACAGGAUUAGAUACCCCAGUAGUCAAAGCAGAAAAUGAUGAAUGUCAUAGAUUAGAUAUAUAAGUUUAUUCUAUAAAUGAAAGUGUAAGCAUUCCACCUCAAGAGUAAUUUGGCAACAUUGGAACUGAAAUCAUUAGACCGUUUCUGAAACCAGUAGUGAAGUAUGUUGUUUAAUUUGAUGAUCCGCAAAAAACCUUACCACAAUUUGAAUAUUUAUAUCUUUUAUUGUUUUUCUUUUUAACUUUCUUCUGAUUUUCUACUUAAAAGAAAACAAUAACAAGAAAAAUGAGGCAAUAAGAUAUAUUUACAAGCGUUGCACGGCUGUCUUCAGUUAAUGUCGCGAGACUCUGGUUAGUUCCAUUAAAUUAACGUAAACCCUUACUUUAUUUUUAUAUAGAGUAGUUCCCCGCUAUAUUGGAUAUGAUAACAGGGACUAAGACAAGUCAUCAUGGCCUAAAUAUUGUGGGCUAUA
rnacentral:rRNA from 1 species